rnacentral:rRNA from 1 species
GAUGAACGCUGGCGGCGUGCCUAAUACAUGCAAGUCGAGCGAACAGACGAGGAGCUUUCUCCUCUGACGUUAGCGGCUGACGGGCGAGUAACACGUGGAUAACCUACCUAUAAUACUGGGAUAACUUCGGGAAACCGGAGCUAAUACCGGAUAAUAUAUUCAACCGCAUGGUUCAAUAGUGAAAGACGGUUUUGCUGUCACUUAUAGAUGGAUCCGCGCCGCAUUAGCUAGUUGGUAAGGUAACGGCUUACCAAGGCAACGAUGCGUAGCCGACCUGAGAGGGUGAUCAGCCACACUGGAACUGAGACACGGUCCAGACUCCUACGGGAGGCAGCAGUAGGGAAUCUUCCGCAAUGGGCGAAAGCCUGACGGAGCAACGCCGCGUGGGUGAAGAAGGUCUUCGGAUCGUAAAACUCUGUUAUUAGGAAAGAACAAAUGUGUAAGUAACUAUGCACGUCUUGACGGUACCUAAUCAGAAAGCCACGGCUAACUACGU